AGCAGGUGUGUUUUCACUCAGAGGAAGCAGCUACAGAUUUGAAAAUGACUUAGCAGCUGGUGAAAAAGAAGACUGAAGCUGUGCCAGACGAAGUCUAAGGAAUCAAUGCUUAUGUGUAAAAUCUCCUGAGCACUUGUCUCUAUGGCAAAAAAAGGCACUGAUGCUAGAGAAAAUGAAUUUCCAAGGAAGGCAUUUCAAGAGCAAAACACGCUUUUUAUUUUGUUGAAACAACAGCAACAACAAGCUAUUGAAAGAACAGAGAUACUUUAUGGAAUACCUUAUGUACGCCAUAAACUAGUACAGACUUCUUCAGGACCCAGCACCGUGCCACACAUUCCCUUGGGACCACAGUUUAAAAGUUCUGGAAAAGGUUUAAACAUCUGACGUGAGCCACCUAGUGUCUGAACGAAUGGCGACAUUAAGAAGUUGAAAGAAACAUUUUAACCUCUUUCUAACAGCUGGUAGAAGCCAAUUUGUAUCUAUAAACUUAAAAUUGGAGAGAGGGAUCAGACCCAAACUUUACUGAAACACAGCCUUUUGGGAACUGCCACGCCUCGAGCCUAUCUUCAGAGCAAUCAGCACACUGCUAACACAUCAGUACAGACUAGGUAAAAUUCCUGUUAAAAUACCAUUUCAGAAGUAAAGUCAAUCACUAAACUGUAUACAGAUGAUGUGAGGUAUUUAAAUAACUGUUUGACCCACUCAGAGCAAACUUUCAAAUUUCCACUCUGAAAAAGUAUCAACUUGCUACUUCUCCCACACACACGCACAAAAAGUUUCUAAUUAUAAUUAAUCAAAAUAAGACUCUCUCAUAGUCUGAAGAUAAAGUGAAAUAAAAUAACCUACGUCUUCACCUCCAGACCCAAACUCUUGAUAAGUGGUUUGCAACUAGAUUACUAGAUUCCUAACUAUAAAUAAUUUUUAACUAUACUGAUAUAUACUUGUUCUUCCCAGUUAUCUUGUGAAGACUACUUAUAGAAAAGCAAUUCUGCCUUAGCAAUGACACAAAAACAUGAAAUAUUGAUAUGGGACAGAAAGUCAUUACUGGAAUAGCUGUAGGGAAGGAAAUACAGAGGCUGAAAAGGAGGGAGCAGAAAAAAAGUAAAGAAAAAGAAAGCAAGAUGAGGAAGAAAAGGACGAAAAAUAACAGAUUGUAAAGCAGAAACCACUCUAAAAGAUCCAAGUUAGAGAUCGAGUUAGCUACGCAAUAUAAGGUUUGUAUUAUUUUCGCAGGUGUUUUUCUUUUAUGUAACAAUUUAUUCAAAGGGUUGGAAGUCUCUAAGAAUGUCAGAGUGGGUUACUGUAAAGCUUGUAACAUACAUCUUUUUGUAUUUGGGAAGGAAAUGUAAAUAAAAACACACUAAGUAAUGAAUAUAGAGGAACGACCAGCUUCUUUUGUGCUUUAUUGUGAAAGAGUAUUACUGAUAAAUUACUAAGAGAAUAAUGCAUGUGAUUUGAAAAGUCAUGUUUGUAUAUUGUUGUCGGUUUUGCUUUGUCAGGUUUGAGACCUUCAAGCAAAUUUACAUUAAGUACAUUUCUAGAAUUUAAUAAACAAACUUUUGUUUCCUGUAACAGCUAGCAAUCAUAGUGGUUUGGAUUUGGCAUAUGUGCUCUAUAGUUAUGGCUCUAUUCAAAUUCAGGUAGCCAUAAUCUUAGUCAAUAAAUGUUUAUCAGCAGAUAACAGCUACUUGUACUUUUCUGCAUAUUACCCC
ensembl:lncRNA